UUCCGGUUGAUCCUGCCGGAGGCUACCGCUAUUGGAGUUCGAUUAAGCCAUGCGAGUCGAGAGUCCUCGGGACUCGGCGUACCGCUCAGUAACACGUGGGUAACCUGCCCUAUGCUGGGGAAUAACCUCGGGAAACUGAGAAUAAUGCCCCAUAGCCCACUACGCCUGGAACGGUGAGUGGGUCAAAGCUCCGGCGGCAUAGGAUGGGCCUGCGCCGUAUCAGGUUGUAGGGGGUGUAAAGUACCCUCUAGCCAUCAACGCGUACGGGUGUUGGGAGACAUUGCCCGGAGAUGGAUUCUGAGACACGAAUCCAGACCCUACGGGGUGCAGCAGGCGCGAAAACUUGGCAAUGCGAGAAAUCGUGACCAGGGAACUCCAAGUGCGUAGGGUAAGACCUACGCUUUUCUUGACUCUUCAAAGGUCUUGGAAUAAGGGGUGGGUAAGGACGGUGCCAGCCGCCGCGGUAAUACCGGCGCCUCAAGUGGUAGUCGCUUUUAUUGGGCCUAAAACGUCCGUAGCCGGUCUGGUGCAUUCGUGGGUAAAUCAACCCGCUCAACGGGUUGAAUUCUGCGAGCACGGCCAGACUUGGGACCGGGAGAGGUGUGGGGUACUCUCAGGGUAGGGGUAACAUCCUGUCAUCCUGAGAGGACCACUGUUGCAAGGCGCACCUAGACCGAUCGACGUCCGACAAACUAGGGCCGAACGGAU
rnacentral:rRNA from 1 species